UGGGGAAUUUUGGACAAUGGGCGAAAGCCUGAUCCAGCAAUGCCGCGUGUGUGAAGAAGGCCUUCGGGUUGUAAAGCACUUUUGUCCGGAAAGAAAUCCUUGGCUCUAAUACAGUCGGGGGAUGACGGUACCGGAAGAAUAAGCACCGGCUAACUACGUGCCAGCAGCCGCGGUAAUACGUAGGGUGCAAGCGUUAAUCGGAUUACUGGGCGUAAAGCGUGCGCAGGCGGUUUGCUAAGACCGAUGUGAAAUCCCCGGGCUCAACCUGGGAACUGCAUUGGUGACUGGCAGGCUAGAGUAUGGCAGAGGGGGGUAGAAUUCCACGUGUAGCAGUGAAAUGCGUAGAGAUGUGGAGGAAUACCGAUGGCGAAGGCAGCCCCCUGGGCCAAUACUGACGCUCAUGCACGAAAAGCGUGGGGGAGCAAAACAGGAUUAGAUACCCUGGUAGUCCACGCCCUAAACGAUGUCAACUAGUUGUUGGGGAUUCAUUUCCUUAGUAACGUAGCUAACGCGUGAAGUUGACCGCCUGGGGAGUACGGUCGCAAGAUUAAAACUCAAAUGAAUUGACGGGGUCAUAGCUGUUUCC
rnacentral:rRNA from 1 species